GGGCGGCUAGCUCAGUGGAAGAGCGCUCGCCUCACACGCGAGAGGUCGUAGGUUCAAGUCCUACGCCGCCCACCA
rnacentral:tRNA from 5 species